rnacentral:rRNA from 1 species
AUUGAACGCUGGCGGCAUGCCUUACACAUGCAAGUCGAACGGCAGCACGGGUGCUUGCACCUGGUGGCGAGUGGCGAACGGGUGAGUAAUAUAUCGGAACGUACCUUAUUGUGGGGGAUAACGCAGCGAAAGCUGUGCUAAUACCGCAUAAUCCCUAAGGGGGAAAGCGGGGGACCGUAGGGCCUCGCGCAAUUAGAGCGGCCGAUACCUGAUUAGCUAGUUGGUGAGGUAAAGGCUCACCAAGGCAACGAUCAGUAGCUGGUCUGAGAGGACGGGCAGCCACACGGGGACUGAGAGACGGCCCAGACUCAUACGGGAGGCAGCAGUGGGGAAUUUUGGACAAUGGGGGCAACCCUGAUCCAGCAAUGCCGCGUGAGUGAAGAAGGCCUUCGGGUUGUAAAGCUCUUUUGUCAGGGAAGAAACAGCAGCUCUAACACAGUUUGCGAAUGACGGUACCUGAAGAAUAAGCACCGGCUAACUACGUGCCAGCAGCCGCCGUAA